AGAGUUUCACCCUGGCUCAACACGAACGUUGGCGGCGUGCCUAACACAUGCAAGUCGUGGGGCAGCAGGCUACUACCUUUAGGUAGUAGUGCUGGCGACCGGCAAACGGGUGAGUAACACGUAGCUUACCUACCCCAAGGUUGGGGAUAACCUCCCGAAAGGGUGGCUAAUACCCAAUAAUGAGGAAACUCCAAAGCCCAAAAGGCGCCUUGGGAUGGGGCUGCGUCCCAUCGGCUAGUUGGUGAGGUAAUGGCUCACCAAGGCUACGAUUGGUAACCGGUCUGAGAGGAUGACCGGUCACAGUGGGACUGAGACACGGCCCGCACCCCUACGGGGGGCAGCAGUGGGGAAUAUUGGGCAAUGGCCGAAAGGCUGACCCAGCAACGCCGCGUGGUGGACGAAGCCCUUCGGGGUGUAAACACCUUUUCUGGGGGAAGACAAUGACGGUACCCCAGGAAUAAGGGACGGCUAACUACGUGCCAGCAGCCGCCGUAAUACGUAGGUCCCAAACGUUGCGCGAAAUUACUGGGCGUAAAGGGUCCGUAGGCGGUCUGGCAAGUGGAAAGUGAAAAUCCUACGGCUCAACCGUAGAAUUGCCUUCCAAACUCGCUGGACUUUAGGCAGGGAGAGGUCGGCGGAAUUCCCGGUGUAGCGGGGGAAAAUGCCGUAAAUUUCCGGAGGAAAACCAGUGGCGGAAGGCGGGCCGACUGGAAAUGUCCCUGACCCUGAGGGGAAAAAAGCCAGGGGAAGCAACCCGGAUUUAAUACCC
rnacentral:rRNA from 1 species